ACUGCUGCCCUUCGCCGCCGCCCCCGGCAGUGCUCGCUCUCUCUAGGCCCCAUGUAAAUCGCUGUGUUUGCUGGGGAGCCCUUAGUUCAAUUCUCAGGGGAUUAGGGCCAUUGAGAUUCUUAAUCAAUUGCUGGGUUCCACGCGAUCCUCUUUAGAAACUUUUUGCUUAAUAUGCAUCUAGAGACAUGCACGGCCCGCCUGCAGCGCUGGAGCCGAUGGAGUGGAGCCUGGGAGGCUGCAGGCGACCCCCAGGCUUCUAAACAGCAACGUCAGUUUAAUUAUUGCAGAUCCGUCACAGCUGCCAAGUCCUCUCUGUCUUCGUUGUUGUUAACGGGGAAACUUGCCGCCCGGUGGCUUUGCUUCAGGCGGAAGUCCGCGUGCUUUGAUACCCUCAGGGGGCACUUACAGGCUAGGUGGACACAGGUGGGCUGCGGGACUCCGCGAAUUUACCUUCCAGGGGAAUGCACUGCACACAUGCUGCACACAGGAGACAGGGAAGCCUGGCGAGGUUGGGUUUUCAGGCGCCACUGUAUACACUCUCAGUUCCACUGAUACCCUUUCUUUCUUCUACCC
rnacentral:lncRNA from 1 species